UACGUAGGGGGCAAGCGUUGUCCGGAUUUAUUGGGCGUAAAGAGCUCGUAGGUGGUUCGGUAAGUCGGAUGUGAAAUCUCCAGGCUCAACCUGGAGGGGUCAUUCGAUACUGCCGUGACUAGAGUUCGGUAGGGGAGUGUGGAAUUCCUGGUGGAGCGGUGAAAUGCGCAGAUAUCAGGAGGAACACCGGUGGCGAAGGCGGGUCUCUGGGCCGAUACUGACGCUGAGGAGCGAAAGCGUGGGGAGCGAACAGG
rnacentral:rRNA from 1 species